rnacentral:rRNA from 1 species
AGUCCUAUAACGAGCGCAACCCCUAUUUCUAGUUGCCAGCACAUAAUGGUGGGGACUCUAGAGAGACUGCCGGUGCAAACCGUGAGGAAGGUGGGGAUGACGUCAAAUCAUCACGGCCCUUACGUCCUGGGCUACACACGUGCUACAAUGGUAGGGACAGAGAGCAGCCACUUCGCGAGAAGGAGCGAAUCUACAAACCCUAUCUCAGUUCGGAUCGCAGUCUGCAACUCGACUGCGUGAAGCUGGAAUCGCUAGUAAUCGCAUAUCAGCCAUGAUGCGGUGAAUACGUUCCCGGGCCUU